AAGUCUGGGGCUUCCUUACCUUUUUAUUUUUAUUUUUGUUUUUUUAUAAUAUAUAUCUUAGAUGAAAGAUUAAGGCUUCCUUAUGGCUUCCAAGUAUCUCAACAUUUUGCCUGCUAGUGGAAGGAAACUUUUAAAUGGGGUAAUACUCGUUAACCCUAAAAUUUUAAGACUAAAGCUUCUUGUUACUGGUGUUGUUGUUGAAUAUGUCAUACUGAUACUCACUUAUUAUUAACUUUCUUUGCUACUUAGAUUUACGUAUCAGCAAAUUUGAGCACCAUAAAUCAUUGUUCCCACUAUUUGUGGAAUGUAGUUGGUCUUUCCACUUUUACUUCCAUGUUUGAUAUUCUCUCGACUUGGUCAAGCUAUACCACUAAGAAAAUGCUUGAAUGGUGGUUUAUUUGGACUAUGUGGUUCUACCAAAGGGUAUAAUUUUGAUUCGCUUUUUGGUUGAUGGUUUUAGAUGCUUGUUGAUGAUAUUGGAGAUGUGACAAUUACUAAUGAUGGUGCUACAAUACUGAAGAUGCUUUGAUUUUUUGAUAGCUUUUUAUGUACAAAGAACCACAUUUAAACAACUGCAUUUUUUGGAAGUGUUGAAGGAUUUGUUUAAAUACUUUGGAACUUUGAUAAUGGUUAUAGACAACGUUAUGUAUUUGAUAAUAUAUUUCUAUGUUAAUAUAAUGUUAGUUUGGAGACA